UCCGUAGGUGAACCUGCGGAUCAUUA
rnacentral:rRNA from 1 species